rnacentral:tRNA from 1 species
GUGGCAUAUAGUUCAGCGGUAGAGCGCUUGAUUGUUAAUCAAGAUGUUGCAGGUUUGAGUCCUGCUAUGCCUGUUCCCA